UUAUGGCUCAGGAUGAACGCUAGCGACAGGCUAACACAUGCAAGUCGAGGGGCAGCACGGGAGUAGCAAUACAACUGGUGGCGACCGGCGCACGGUGAGUAACGCGUAUGCAACCUACCUAUCAGAGGGGAAUAACCCGGCGAAAGUCGGACUAAUACCGCAUAAAACAGGGGCACCGCAUGGUGAUAUUUGUUAAAGAGAUUCGCUGAUAGAUGGGCAUGCGUUCCAUUAGGUAGUUGGUGAGGUAACGGCUCACCAAGCCGACGAUGGAUAGGGAACUGAGAGGUUGGUCCCCCACACUGGUACUGAGACACGGACCAGACUCCUACGGGAGGCAGCAGUGAGGAAUAUUGGUCAAUGGGCGGGAGCCUGAACCAGCCAAGUCGCGUGAAGGAAGAAGGAUCUAUGGUUCGUAAACUUCUUUUGCAGGGGAAUAAAGUGCAGGACGUGUCCUGUUUUGUAUGUACCCUGAGAAUAAGGAUCGGCUAACUCCGUGCCAGCCGCAGC
rnacentral:rRNA from 1 species